rnacentral:rRNA from 1 species
CCUACGGGUGGCAGCAGUGAGGAAUAUUGGUCAAUGGGCGGAAGCCUGAACCAGCCAAGUAGCGUGCAGGAUGAAGGCCCUACGGGUUGUAAACUGCUUUUAUACGGGAAUAACGCGCCUUACGUGUAGGGCUUUGCAUGUACCGUAUGAAUAAGGACCGGCUAAUUCCGUGCCAGCAGCCGCGGUAAUACGGAGGGUCCGGGCGUUAUCCGGAUUUAUUGGGUUUAACGGGAGCGUAGGUGGCAUGUUAAGCGGGCUGUGAAAUGUCCGGGCUCAACCAGGGCAUUGCAGCGCGAACUGGCAUGCUUGAGGCCGCGGAAGGCAGGCGGAAUUCGUGGUGUAGCGGUGAAAUGCUUAGAUAUGACGAAGAACCCCGAUUGCGAAGGCAGCUUGCUGCAGCGGAACUGACGCUGAUGCUCGAAAGCGCGGGUAUCGAACAGGAUUAGAUACCCGUGUAGUC